rnacentral:SRP_RNA from 1 species
GGUUGGGUCCUAUGCAAUUUGCGAAAACGCGAACCCCGCCAGAUUCGGAAGAAAGCAACGGUAGUGAUUUUCCAAAUGUGCCGUAGGUAACCUGACCCCC